UGGGGAAUCUUAGACAAUGGGGGAAACCCUGAUCUAGCCAUGCCGCGUGAGCGAUGAAGGCCUUAGGGUUGUAAAGCUCUUUCAGCUGGGAAGAUAAUGACGGUACCAGCAGAAGAAGCCCCGGCUAACUCCGUGCCAGCAGCCGCGGUAAUACGGAGGGGGCUAGCGUUGUUCGGAAUUACUGGGCGUAAAGCGCACGUAGGCGGAUUAGUCAGUCAGAGGUGAAAUCCCAGGGCUCAACCCUGGAACUGCCUUUGAUACUGCUAGUCUUGAGGUCGAGAGAGGUGAGUGGAAUUCCGAGUGUAGAGGUGAAAUUCGUAGAUAUUCGGAGGAACACCAGUGGCGAAGGCGGCUCACUGGCUCGAUACUGACGCUGAGGUGCGAAAGCGUGGGGAGCAAAACAGGAUUAGAUACCCUGGUAGUCCACGCCGUAAACGAUGAAUGCCAGUCGUCGGGUUGCAUGCAAUUCGGUGACACACCUAACGGAUU
rnacentral:rRNA from 1 species